rnacentral:sRNA from 1 species
GCCGCGUAUCCUCUUCGGGCUUUGCGGCGACGUUUUUUAUUAACUGACCUUGUAUUUAGGAGAUCAAUAGUGGCCCGUAUAGCUGGCAUUAACGUGCCUGA